CUCUUAUUAGUACGAAAGGACCAUAAGGGUAAAAUAAUUUUAAUUUAUUUUGAUUAAUAUUAAUUAAAUUUAUA
rnacentral:rRNA from 1 species